UCGCUCGCCGUCCUGCUCGCGCCGACGCCGCCCCUCUCGCGCCGCCCUCGGUCCUUGCGUCCGUCUCGCCCAACGCGAACCGGCAGUUCCCCGCCUCCCCGUCCCUCGCCCUCCCCGUCUCGCCCGCCGACGCCGCCGCUCCCGCGUCGCCCUCGGCCCUCGCGUCCGUCUCGCCCGCCGACGCCGCCGCCACGCCCUCGCGGCCCUCGCUGCCCUCGCCUCCCCGUCGCGCUGCCGGCCUCCGCCAGCUCGGCGCCGCCAACUCGCGCGCCUCCUCCGCGAACUCCACGACACCGACCCGCGGGCCUCAGCCGGUAGCGCGCGACAUCGAGCCGGCGCGCCCCUACUCGGGUGGCACCCCUCCUCGGACAUCGAGGGGCCGCCGAGCCGCUCGACUCCGGCGCCAGCUCGACGCCGUGGGUGAACGAGAACGCCGCUCCGCUCUGGCGUCACUGCGCCCCACUGUGGCGUCCCCGACGUGCCUCCACACCGAGUAGAUCUGUGUUGUUGCUGUUGCUGUGGCCAGCUUGCUUAAUACAACUCUUGUGAACCUAACACUUCGUCUGAAUAGUGCUUAGCGUGAUUCUAGGCUGAGGACUUUGAGGAUACGAGAUUACUGACCAAGCUUAUAGUUCAUUGCUUGUGAGUUGUCUGCUAAAAGGUAUGUGAUGCCCUUUCUUCUCUGCUUCUACCAUCAAUUCUCAGAAAAUGUGUUUCUGUGAUGUUCUAUUGAACUAUCAUGUUUGAUUGGAGCUAACUUGCCAGUCGGUAUCUAAGGCAUCUGUCUCUCCGUAGAGAAUGUCCUUCGGAACUGCAUCGCCAAGCUAUCACCAGGCGAGUUCCGUGAUUUUGCUGUCUUCUUUCCAUGUCCCUGGCUAAACUGAUUUAAAAUUAGCAGGAACUGCUAAAUCUCCCACCAAAAUCUGGUACUUGUGCGUUGACAAUUUUCUCUGCUGAGCUGUCUGCCUUCUAAACAAAUCUCCCUAUUACUGAAUAUUCUGUGAGUACCUGAUGGUUAAUAUGAUUUCUGUGUAGUCUUAUCAUCUGGGAGGGGCGGGAGCUCUAAUAAUGCAGGGUCGAUGUGUUGUUUCAAUUUUACUGAUGCCACGCUUUCUCUGCAUUCUUUAUUUAUCUGUUGUUUCCUCUUAUUAGUUGUACUUAUUUCAGGGCAAGACUUGGCUCCAUUGGGUUAAGCAACCAGUGCCAUGACAUUAUCAGUAUGAUAAAGAUUUUUUACAUGCAAUUAUACAAACAUCUGAAUUAUGGUUGGGAAUAUUAUUUUUGGACCACAUUGGAGACCGAAGUCACUAAAUUGUAUAGGUAAUCUUAAAGCGUUGAUGUUAGAAGCAUUCAUUCAGGGUCCAUGCCGAUCCUACAGCCACACACAAAAGUUGAGAGUUUGAGAUCUCACCCCAUGCUGAAGAAUAGUAUCUAUUUUACAAAGAUUCCUACGUUUGUAUUUACAAAUAAUAUUGUUCUGUUGCAGAAUUCUAGAAACGACAAGAACAACAACUUAGCCACAAGAGUGGGAGAUUGCUUCAACCAACAUUUUUUUAUUUUACCAUUGAUAUCAUUUGAGCUCAGUUCUUCUUUGCAUCUUGCGCCCUUGCCAUUUAGUAUGUACACAUAAUUUUUUCAGCACCCACUUAACUGAUGGAUUUCAGCAGUCGCAGUAGUCUAUUUCCCUUCUGAAAUUUGCUAUGCAAGCUUACCUAACUUAGGAAGACCAACAAGCUUCAUUUCUUUGAAUUGCAUUCACUCCAAAAGUAUUUCAAUUAUUUUGUUUCCAAAUAAUUUUGAAGUCGAACACUUCUGUACUGCAGGUGGAGCAAUGAAGGCGCUAUUGCCACCGGCUUUGUUCAACAGCACAGUUAAAUUCAGAGAGUGGUGAAUGGAAGUCCUUCGGAUAAAUUUUUUGUUUGUGCUCCAGUUUCUUAAAAUAGUUGCAUGGCUUAAGUUUUCAGGCCUCCAUUGCAUAGUAAAACAACUUAAAUGAGAUAAGUGAUGCUCUGGAAGUAGAGUACCUGACUACCUAUUAACGAGUGAUGAAAUAAUCGAGAUAAAUUUGUAUAGGAUUACCGGAAUGGUAUUGGAUUCCGAAUCCCUUAUUAAUUUUGUAUUACAGCAGCCUCAAGAUAAAUAUGUUUAACUAAAUGAGUGAUGAAAUAAUCUGAGAAUUUUAUUUUGUUUCUACUGGUCUCAGGUAAUUGAAAGCAGUGGGAGGAACUAGAUGAAGUCAAGAGAACCUAUAUACGUCUGGAGGGUCAAAACAAGAUAGAAUUCGACCUCGUGCAUUUUGGUAUAGGAAGACUCUCUCAAUGCACCUAUCUUGCAAAGGGACCCAGAAGAGCUCACUCUUCAGGAAAAUCACAAUUGGACAUGCUUCACAGAUGCUGCCAUCACGCCUGACUAUCUUUAGGUGGGCCACAUAACCAGAGAAACAGGAAUAGGAAUUUCCCUUCAUUUUGCAAGGACAGAAGAGAUGCCACGCACCUCACUCGAAAUUCAAGCUGCAGCUGAGGCAGAAUUAGUCAUCCAAGCUGAACUCCAAGCAAUUCAACUUGCCACAACUAUCCUACAGUUUCUGCAGGCCACGGAUGUCCUGUUAUGUACAGGCUCACAGCUGUCUGCAACCUUCAUCCACCAGUGUCAAACACAUCUCCUGGAGGCUACGACCGCUUAUUUCAAAAAUACAUAGGAACACUUUGAAUACCAUCUGUACCUUCAAGAAAAUUAGCAGGAGCUCCAACUCUAGAGCACAUGUUUUAGCUACUACAAAGUUGGCCAUUAACACUGGCCUUGGGGACGAUCUAUCCCUCACUUUCUCUUGUGCUCAUCAAAAUGAUGGAUGCACCCACAUACAACGCAUCCGAGAUUGUCCAGCAGGCCCCCUGUCGACUGAUCAACAUUACUUGUACUGUUGAUUAUUAAUAAAGUUUGGGCAUUUCAUAAAAAAAA